UUAAAUGUAUUUAUAAAGGUUACUCGGGAACACGUGUAUUUGUUUACUUUUAACACGUGUGUUUAAAUCAAAACAUGUUUAUGUUUAAUUUGAUUGGACCAUCAGUAAGUUAUUACCGGUUUAAGUUAUAUCAAUCAUGAUAACUUCAUGCUAGAAUUUUAGCGCUAAAAUUAUAAUAAGAUAUCUAGAAUUGUCAUUCGAGGUUCGCCUAUCCGACAGAAAGGUUCGUUUUUUCUUAAAUCGCCACUUGGUAAAAUGUCCGAAUCUUCUCCACGUCUGGAAUUGAAUGAAGACAUACUACUCGAAGGAGAUAAUAGUUUACCGCCACCUAAUAUUCAUAAAGCAGCUGAUAAGUCGUCUGAUUUGGUAGAUACUGUAGAGCUUUUUAAGACAAUUUUAGACAGCAAGUUAGGUGAGUUGAAAUCUGAACUCAUACAAGAACAAGAUUGCCUUAAGAGAAAAAUUAAGGAGGACGUCACUCUAAAAUUUAAGGGGGAAGGAAACAGAAUUCAGUACACCUUUAACGAGGAAUUAUUAGACACUGUUAAUAAACUUUCAAAAUUCAUCCCUAACUCCAAUACUCAAGCAUAUAGAUUAGUUCUUGACAUAACUGAUAAGAUCAAAAGCCGUAAUAAGAAAAUACGCAUAGCUGAUGCUUCCCCUGCUGGUUGGGGAACCGUUAGGGAAUACGAAUCCAAUGCCGUGGCUUCAGAUUCUGAAGAUGAGAGAAAGAUACGACAAGCUGAGACCAGAGCUAUCCGUACCUCCAAGGAGAAGUCAAAAUCUCGCCAGCAACCUUACCCAAAAAAUCCGCCUCGUCAACAACCUGCGGAAUCUUAUGGUAACCCUGCUUACGCUCAGCAUUAUCAACGUAAUCAGCAACAGCCCUUUCGUGGGAGCUUCGCAAGGCGUGAGCCUUGCUCAAUCGACACGUGCCACUACUGCAAGCAACAAGGCCACUGGAGAAAAAACUGUCCUCUUCUCGCCAGUCUCAGGUCAUCCAACAGCAACUCCACAACCUACCAGAAGUAGUAAAGUAGGGCCUGAACGUCACUCUCCAGUCAUUGUGAAUGAUAAGUAUUUAGACACUAUUAAUGACCAAUUUUCUACAUGUUUUGUUGAUAACGAUUAUAUAGAAUCUUUUUUAGAUCAAGUUCAAUAUUUUGAAAAUUGUCAGUCAUAUGAUAAAUUUAAAGGGGUGAAAGGUAGAUUAGCUUGUCAUGUAAAGUAUUGGGAAAAUAUAGGUGCUUGUCCUUUUGUGCUUGAUACAAUAAAAAAUGGUUAUGUUAUUCCAUUUAUAGAUACACCUUUUAAAAUGUACCACAGAAAUAAUAGAUCAGCACGGCAGAAUACUGAAUUUGUCACAAAGUCAAUUGAAGAUUUAGUUCAAAUAGGUUGCGUAAUUAAAGUGCCUUUUCAACCAUAUGUGGUAAAUCCAUUGAGUGUUGCUACUCAAAAGUCCGGUAAGAAACGACUUAUUUUAGAUAUGAGUCAAUUGAAUAAACACAUAAAGCGCGAAAAAAUAAAAUUUGAGGAUUGGAAGUUAGCUAUACAAUAUUUUGACAAAGAUAUGUAUCUGUUUAAGUUUGAUUUAAAAUCUGGUUAUUUUCACUUAGACAUAUGCUCACAGCAACAGACUUUCUUAGGUUUUCAGUGGGAAGGUCAAUUUUAUUGCUAUACUGUUUUAGCUUUCGGAAUUACUACCGGUCCGUACAUUUUUACUAAAUGUUUGAGGCCACUAGUAAAAUUUUGGCGUGGAAACGGUAUAAAAGUUGUUUUGUAUUUAGAUGAUGGAUUUGGCAUGAGUCCAGAUGAAAAUACAUGUAAUGAGCAAUCGUCCUUCGUAAAAAGGUCUUUGAUUGAUGCUGGUUUCCUUAUUAACGAGGAGAAGUCUGUUUUUAAACCUGUUACCGAGUUAGAAUGGUUGGGAAUAGUUUGGAACUCGAAAGAAUACAAAUUAUCUAUUACUCAACGUCGAGUUGACGAUUUGAUUUUCUCAUUGAAUGUAAUUUUGGCUAAAUUUCCCUAUGUUACAGCUAGAUCUUUAGCUCAGGUUGUAGGUAGAAUUAUUUCUAUGACUCCCGUAAUCGGAAAUGUGGCUAGAAUUAUGUCAAAGUUCUGUUACAUGGAAAUUGAAAGUAGAAUUGGGUGGGAUAUUCCCAUUACAGGGUACAAACCCGUCGAGGUUUUAUCAGAGUUAAAGUUCUGGUUAGAAAAUGUCACCAUGAUUAACUAUCGUAAUUUAUGUCAUUACAGUAAAUCUUCUGUUGUCAUAUACUCAGAUGCUAGUAAUAUUGCCGCUGGUGCAUACACCGUUGAAUUAGAAAAUAAGAUUUUCCAUAAGAUGUGGACAUGUAGUGAAACGGUACAAAGCUCCACAUGGAGAGAGCUGAAAGCUAUAGAGUUGGCCCUUUUUUCUUUUAAGAAUAGUUUCACAGGAAAAACUAUAAAGUGGUUUACUGACAAUCAAAAUUGUGUCAAAAUUGUUAAUUCGGGAAGUAUGAAAGAAAAUCUUCAUGUUAUAGCAAAAUCUAUUUUUUCAUUUUGCAUUCAAAAAGGAAUAUCAAUUGACAUUCAAUGGAUUCCCAGAAAAGAAAAUGAAAAGGCUGAUUAUAUCAGCAAAAUGGUUGAUUUCGAGGACUGGGGAGUCACACAUAUAUUUUUCAAUUUUUUAAAUGAUAUGUGGGGUCCUUAUUCGAUUGACAGGUUUGCAAGUGUCGAAAAUAGAAAAGUUAUGAGAUUUAACUCCUUAUUUUGGCAACCUGAUUCUGAAGCAGUUGAUGCAUUUUCUCAAGUUUGGACCAAUGAAAAUAAUUGGCUAGUUCCACCAAUUAAUCUUGUGAUACGAUCGAUUAAACACAUUAUAGCUUGUAAAGCUCGAGGCACGUUAGUUGUGCCUAAGUGGAUUUCUGCUGCAUUCUGGCCUUUGAUAUUCGAUAAACAUCUGAUUUAUCAAGAUUACGUAAAAGAUGUUAUUGUGUUUAAAAAUACUGAUGGUAUUUAUAAGCAAGGUUCGAAUAAGAAUACGAUAUUCGGAAUUGAACCGUUUGGUUCGCCAGUUUUGGCUGUUUUGCUAGAUGCAUCUUAGACAUGGCCCUAAUAUAUAUAGAUAUAUUUUAGCAGGCAUGGUCUGUUUGUGACAUGGCCCUAAUAUAUAUAUAGAUAUAUUGUAGCAGUCAUGGUCUGUUUGUGACAUGGCCCUAGUAUAUGUAUAUUGUAGCAGGCAUGGGUGUUUAUGUUGACAUGGCCCUAGUAUCGGUAAUGAUAUUGUAGCAGGCUUGGUUUUUUAUUUGACAUGGCCCUAGUAUCUAUAAUGAUAUUUUAGCAGGCAUGGUAAUUUGUUUUACAGUUUAUGGCCCUAGUAUCUAUAAAGAUAUUGUAGCUGGCGUUGAAAUAUUUGAAUAUAUAUUAUAUUUUACUGUGUAUAGAAAUCUGAAAUAUGCUAAUAAUUCGUCCUCUGUAUAUGUAUAUAAAAUGUUAUUGCAAUUUUACGUUUUUCAGAUAUUUUUUCAGUAGGACAUUGGUCAGACUUUAAUUCACAAGUUGCCUCUAAUAAUGAUCUCAGCAGUUUGUUCAAACAGUUACCAGAAUUCCUUCUUUCGUCCAAGGCUGCGAGUACUCAGAAGAAAUAUAGAUAUGCCUUCAAUUCAUGGUAUUGUGUUUAUAUGUGAUGGCAGCGGUCGAUGACAGCAAAUUGGACAUUUGUUUAUUGUUUAUAAUAAAAAUAAGCUUUCUGUGCUGUCGGGGCGAGCUGAUAACCGAAGCUUUCUGUGCUGUCGGGGCGAGCUGAUAACCAAAAACUGUGUUGAGUUUUUACUUUGUAAAUGCUUUAUGUUCGUUUGAAGUAUUGAAUAAGAACAUAA